rnacentral:rRNA from 1 species
AUUGAACGCUGGCGGCAGGCCUAACACAUGCAAGUCGAACGGUAGCACAGAGGAGCUUGCUCCUUGGGUGACGAGUGGCGGACGGGUGAGUAAUGUCUGGGAAACUGCCCGAUGGAGGGGGAUAACUACUGGAAACGGUAGCUAAUACCGCAUAACGUCGCAAGACCAAAGAGGGGGACCUUCGGGCCUCUUGCCAUCGGAUGUGCCCAGAUGGGAUUAGCUAGUAGGUGGGGUAGCGGCUCACCUAGGCGACGAUCCCUAGCUGGUCUGAGAGGAUGACCAGCCACACUGGAACUGAGACACGGUCCAGACUCCUACGGGAGGCAGCAGUGGGGAAUAUUGCACAAUGGGCGCAAGCCUGAUGCAGCCAUGCCGCGUGUGUGAAGAAGGCCUUCGGGUUGUAAAGCACUUUCAGCGGGGAGGAAGGCGGUGAGGUUAAUAACCUCAUCGAUUGACGUUACCCGCAGAAGAAGCACCGGCUAACUCCGUGCCAGCAGCCGCGGUAAUACGGAGGGUGCAAGCGUUAAUCGGAAUUACUGGGCGUAAAGCGCACGCAGGCGGUCUGUCAAGUCGGAUGUGAAAUCCCCGGGCUCAACCUGGGAACUGCAUUCGAGACUGGCAGGCUAGAGUCUUGUAGAGGGGGGUAGAAUUCCAGGUGUAGCGGUGAAAUGCGUAGAGAUCUGGAGGAAUACCGGUGGCGAAGGCGGCCCCCUGGACAAAGACUGACGCUCAGGUGCGAAAGCGUGGGGAGCAAACAGGAUUAGAUACCCUGGUAGUCCACGCCGUAAACGAUGUCGAUUUGGAGGUUGUGCCCUUGAGGCGUGGCUUCCGGAGCUAACGCGUUAAAUCGACCGCCUGGGGAGUACGGCCGCAAGGUUAAAACUCAAAUGAAUUGACGGGGGCCCGCACAAGCGGUGGAGCAUGUGGUUUAAUUCGAUGCAACGCGAAGAACCUUACCUGGUCUCGACAUCCACAGAACUUUCCAGAGAUGGAUUGGUGCCUUCGGGAACUGUGAGACAGGUGCUGCAUGGCUGUCGUCAGCUCGUGUUGUGAAAUGUUGGGUUAAGUCCCGCAACGAGCGCAACCCUUAUCCUUUGUUGCCAGCGGUCCGGCCGGGAACUCAAAGGAGACUGCCAGUGAUAAACUGGAGGAAGGUGGGGAUGACGUCAAGUCAUCACGGCCCUUACGACCAGGGCUACACACGUGCUACAAUGGCAUAUACAAAGAGAAGCGACCUCGCGAGAGCAAGCGGACCUCAUAAAGUAUGUCGUAGUCCGGAUUGGAGUCUGCAACUCGACUCCAUGAAGUCGGAAUCGCUAGUAAUCGUAGAUCAGAAUGCUACGGUGAAUACGUUCCCGGGCCUUGUACACACCGCCCGUCACACCAUGGGAGUGGGUUGCAAAAGAAGUAGGUAGCUUAACCUUCGGGAGGGCGCUUACCACUUUGUGAUUCAUGACUGGGGUGA